GAGUUUGAUCCUGGCUCAGGAUGAACGCUGGCGGCGUGCUUAACACAUGCAAGUCGAACGAAGCACCUUGAUUUGAUUCUUCGGAUGAAGAUCUUGGUGACUGAGUGGCGGACGGGUGAGUAACGCGUGGGUAACCUGCCUCAUACAGGGGGAUAACAGUUAGAAAUGACUGCUAAUACCGCAUAAGACCACAGCACCGCAUGGUGCAGGGGUAAAAACUCCGGUGGUAUGAGAUGGACCCGCGUCUGAUUAGGUAGUUGGUGGGGUAACGGCCUACCAAGCCAACGAUCAGUAGCCGACCUGAGAGGGUGACCGGCCACAUUGGGACUGAGACACGGCCCAAACUCCUACGGGAGGCAGCAGUGGGGAAUAUUGCACAAUGGGGGAAACCCUGAUGCAGCGACGCCGCGUGAGCGAUGAAGUAUUUCGGUAUGUAAAGCUCUAUCAGCAGGGAAGAAAAUGACGGUACCUGACUAAGAAGCACCGGCUAAAUACGUGCCAGCAGCCGUGGUAAUACGUAUGGUGCAAGUGUUAUCCGGAUUUACUGGGUGUAAAGGGAGCGUACACGGAGUGGCAAGUCUGAUGUGAAAACCCGGGGCUCAACCCCGGGACUGCAUCGGAAACUGUCAAUCUAGAGUACCGGAGAGGUAAGCGGAAUUCCUAGUGUACCGGUGAAAUGCGUAGAUAUUAGGAGGAACACCAGUGCCGAAGGCGCUUAAUGGACGGUAACUGACGUUGAGGCUCGAAAGCGUGGGGACCAACAGGAUUAGAUACCUGUAAGUCCACGCCGUAACGGAUGAAUACUAGGUGUUGGGCAGCAAAGCUGUUCGGUGCCGCAGCAAACGCAAUAAGUAGUCCACCUGGGGAGUACGUUCGCAAGAAUGAAACUCAAAGGAAUUGACGGGGACCCGCACAAGCGGUGGAGCAUGUGGUUUAAUUCGAAGCAACGCGAAGAACCUUACCUGCUCUUGACAUCUCCCUGACCGGCAAGUAAUGUUGCCUUUCCUUCGGGACAGGGAUGACAGGUGGUGCAUGGUUGUCGUCAGCUCGUGUCGUGAGAUGUUGGGUUAAGUCCCGCAACGAGCGCAACCCCUAUCUUUAGUAGCCAGCGGUUCGGCCGGGCACUCUAGAGAGACUGCCAGGGAUAACCUGGAGGAAGGUGGGGAUGACGUCAAAUCAUCAUGCCCCUUAUGAGCAGGGCUACACACGUGCUACAAUGGCGUAAACAAAGGGAGGCAGAACCGCGAGGUCGAGCAAAUCCCAAAAAUAACGUCUCAGUUCGGAUUGUAUUCUGCAACUCGACUACAUGAAGCUGGAAUCGCUAGUAAUCGCGAAUCAGAAUGUCGCGGUGAAUACGUUCCCGGGUCUAGUACACACCGCCCGUC
rnacentral:rRNA from 1 species